GACUUCCUCUCCUUCUACAUUAUUGGUCUUGCCCUCAGGGUUUCCUCCCUUAAGCAGGCUGUCUGCCCCUGGUGGCAGUUAGCACUUUGUAUUGACUGCAACAGAAUGCAGUUUCCAAGUCCUCUGAUGCUGGAGGAUGGGAUGCUACCCUGGAGCAAGGAGCAGUCCUUCUGAAAGUGGUUGGGCCCUGUUGUCCAGAUCAACCCAACUUCCCUUGACCUUCCUUCAGACACUCUCAGCUUUCAUCCAUCUGAGUUUAAAAUGUAACACAACUAAACACCAACACCACUAACCUCUAAUUAAUUAAUUCAAAUUGUUUCUCUGCAUCAUUAAAUAACAUGUUGUAGGUUGGAUUGUAUACAGAUUCAUGGAUGAACACCUUUCUUGCUCCCAAGAAGCUUAUAGUACUGCGGAAUAGAAAUGACCAUGAAAAUAGCCAUAAAAUAUAUAUGCAUCAAAGGAAACAAUGUGCUGCCUCUUUCUUUACUGUGCAUUGAAUGUGUAUUGAAUUGUUCAUUUAAUUCCUGUUCUGUGUCUACCAGUGUUAUGAUGUAACAGCCAAUGCAGCAAAAUUCUUACCCAAUUCCUAAACAGGAAGAAAGACAAUACAAAAAUCAAUAAAUUAGUGGGGCUAUGGUGGCUCAAGCAUUUAAUCCCAGUACUCUGAAGGCAGAGGCAGGCAGAACUCUGUGAGUUAGAGACCAACCUGGCUCAUAAAGUGAGUUUCAGUACAGCCAAAGCUACAAAGAGAAGCUUGGUCUCAAAAAACCAAAAUAUAGUAAGUAAAUAAAUUAAUAUGCAGCAUUGUGCCAAACAGAGGCAAACUAUAUUGAAAAAGCUAGGAUAAGGAAGGAAAUAACAAGAGAGUGAAGAGUGUUUUCCUAAAGUACUGUCAGGAAAGUAAAAAACAAACAAACAAACAAACAAAAAAACAGAACCAUGUGACAGAGCCUUCAGGAAAUCAAUGCAGACUAGGGUUCUUGGAAUGAUAUGGUGUGUGGGUCUUGAUUGGGUUUACUGUUGCUGCCAGCUAAAGAAUUAAAUGGCGGAAAAACCUGAAAUGCAACAGGCAGCAGCAGAGAAAUCCCAAACACCUCAGACAGAAUCAGCAGUGGAAGAAAGGGAUUUCCUGGGGGGUGACCAAACACACACAUGAGCUGGGCUCAGGAAGCCAGCUCCAUCCAGUGUCUUCUCUGGGGCUAGGGGUCUUAAAGCCUCUGAAGAGUUUCCUUCCCCUAGUUUAGGGUAGGUGAGUUUGAAGAAAGAGCAAGGGUGGCUGACUGACCUAGAACUCUUGUGUCCUGAGCAGGCCUUGAACUUGUUGAGGGGGUCCAUCAGCAUGAGGCCUGCUGGUGGGAGACAAAAACCUACAAAGCCUUGCCUUUAAGCUGCUAGGCUUUUUGUCUCCAGUGAGGAGGGUGAGGAAGAAGCCUGUCACCUUGGAAACCUGCAACCUUUGUUACCUAACCACAGUCUCUGUCCCAAGCUGUCUGCAUACUAGGGAGUCUUAACUCCUAGACACAAGUAAACACCAACAUGUUUCCUCAUUCAAACAAGUCAAUACUUCUCGGUCACAAAACAUUUACCUUUGAUGGAAUCUGCCUAUCACCCUCUGGAGAAAACUCACGAGCAGAACAUGGAUAAUCUGUGAAAAGUUUCUUAAAGUGGUUAUGACUAGAGAAAAUUGUGCUUUUUUGUGGUUGAAAUACCAAGUGUCCUACCUGCUUGUGCUGAGCUUUGAAAGGUAGAAAUAGAGAAGGGUGAGGCAAAUACCAGGACAGCUUGCCCUAAUAACUUAGUUAAAACCUAGGCCUCAGUCCCUGCUCUUGAAACUGGACAAGACAGUUUCUGAGGAAGCCAUGAACAAAGGGCAGUUAAUCACUGGUGCCCCUGACAACAGGGAUGAGGGAGAUAAGAUGCAGCAAGCCUGGACCACUGAACCAGCCACCAUCAUCAACAGCUCAAGGUAAUAACCAAGUAUGUAUGCAUAAGUGCAAUUGCCUAACAAGGUCAGAGGAAGUCAUUGGAAUUCCUGGACUUGGAGUUAUAGGAUUGAUGCCUAGUCCAAUCAUCAUCAGAGAGACUUCUUCCAGAAGCUUAUGGGAGCAGAUACAGAGACCAUCAGAAAAUUGUAGGUGGACCUUGGAGAACCCUGCAAACAAGAAGGAGGAAUGAUUUUAGAAGCCAGAGGGGUCGAGGACACCAGGAGACCACUUCCUGCAGAAUCAACUAAGCAGGGCUCAUAGAGGUUCACAGAGAUUGAAGAGGCAAUUAUGGAGCCUGCAUGGGUUUGCACCAAGUCCUCUGCAACAUGCUGUGGUUGCUUAGCUUGGGGUUUUUGUUGCACAAUGGAGUAUUACUCCUCUGUUAGUAUCAUUUCUUAGUCCUCUCUUGGUCUCUCCUUCUCCACUACUGUCCCCGGACUCUGCUAACAAACAUUCUAUCCUCAAAUUCUAUGAGGUUAAAUGUAUUAUGUUUUCUCUAUGAACAAUAUUAUAAGCUGUGUUGUGGAAUAAUCUUUUUGUAUAUUGUGAAAAUGUGUCUUUGCCAAGGAGCCUUCUGAUUGCUUUAAUAAAUAGCUCAAUGUCCAAUAGCAGGGCAGGAGAAGAUAGGAGGGACUUCCAGGGAAAGAGAAGACUGGGAAGAAGAGACGCAGAGAUGCCAGCAAGAUAUGAAGUCAGACAUACAGAAUUAAGAAGAGUUUAAAAAAAACACAUAACAGAAUGUAGAUUAAUAGAAGCAGAUUAAGUUAUAAGAGCUAGUGGGAGAAGCUUAAGCUAAAGGCCAAGCUUUCAUAAUUAAUAAGAAGUCUCUUUGCUCCAAUGCUAAUUGUUUUCCUGUGUCUGCUUUAUUUUAUUAAAUUUAGAGAUUACUUAUUCCAUCUGUGUUACUACAAAUGACAGUUUCAGCCUUUGUGUGACUGAAUAAUAUUCCAUUGUGUGUAUGAAUUAUAUUUUUGUUAUUCAUCUGUAGAUGAAGAAUUAAUUUGUUCACAUUUCUUGGCUAUUGUGAGUUAUGCUGCAGUAAACAUGGGUGUGCAGAGACACUUUGACAACAGGUUUCAUUAUCUUUGGAUAUAUAUUGAGUAGUGAAAAUUCUGGGUCGUAUGGUAGCUCUGAUUUUAAUUAAUUUUGCAGAAGCUACAUGCUGAUUUCCAUACUGUCUAUACUAGUGACAGCAUGUAAGUGUUCCAUCUUCACAUCCUUUCUAUCAUUUUAAAAUCUAUAUCCUUUUUUACAUUAGACUUUGAUUCUGUCUCUACGGUUGUGGUUUUGAUUUACAUGUUGUUCAUGAUUAAUUCUAGAAAACAUUUUUGUAGUGUCUAGCUAGUCAUUUGUAUUAGCGUCUUUUGAAAAAUGUUUAACCUUUCACCUUUCUAUUUCUUUUCUCUGUCUCAAUUCUUAUCAUUCUUGAUUCUAUGGGUAUUUGUGCAUGUUUUUUUUAGGUAUGAACUUGUAUUUUUUUUUUACCAUUCUGUUGGUCAUCUCUGCUGUAUUAACAAUUUCUUUCAUAAUAAAUAAAAUUUAUUUUUCAUGUCAGUUAUUUCUUUACUUUCACUUUGCUUCCUGUGUUUUGGAAUUAUGCUCAAAACAUCCUAAUUCAUUUCAUCUGUCUGGAGUGCUUCUCUUGUUUCUUACUUCCAACAAAUUUACUAGUUUCAGGCAACUAGUCUAUCUUUUGUUGGUUUUGUAAUUGUUGAG